rnacentral:rRNA from 1 species
UACAGAGGUCUCAAGCGUUGUUCGGAAUCACUGGGCGUAAAGGGUGCGUAGGUGGCGGGGGAAGUCAGAUGUGAAAUCCGGAGGCUCAACCUCCGAAUUGCAUCCGAUACUCCCUCGCUAGAGGGUUGUAGGGGAGCUUGGAAUUCUCGGUGUAGCAGUGAAAUGCGUAGAUAUCGAGAAGAACGCUCGCAGCGAAGGCGAAGCUCUGGGCAACAUCUGACACUGAUGCACGAAGGCUAGGGGAGCAAACGGG